GAUGAACGCUGGCGGCGUGCUUAACACAUGCAAGUCGAACGAAGCAUUUAAGACAGAUUACUUCGGUUUGAGGUCUUUUAUGACUGAGUGGCGGACGGGUGAGUAACGCGUGGGUAACCUGCCUCAUACAGGGGGAUAGCAGCUGGAAACGGCUGGUAAUACCGCAUAAGCGCACAGUACCACAUGGUACAGUGUGAAAAACUCCGGUGGUAUGAGAUGGACCCGCGUCUGAUUAGCUUGUUGGCGGGGUAACGGCCCACCAAGGCGACGAUCAGUAGCCGACCUGAGAGGGUGACCGGCCACAUUGGGACUGAGACACGGCCCAGACUCCUACGGGAGGCAGCAGUGGGGAAUAUUGCACAAUGGAGGAAACUCUGAUGCAGCGACGCCGCGUGAGUGAAGAAGUAGUUCGCUAUGUAAAGCUCUAUAAGCAGGGAAGAUAGUGACGGUACCUGACGAAGAAGCUCCGGCUAAAUACGUG
rnacentral:rRNA from 1 species